rnacentral:rRNA from 1 species
UACGGAGGAUGCGAGCGUUAUCCGGAUUUAUGGGGUUUAAAGGGUGCGUAGGCGGGAUGCCAAGUCAGCGGUAAAAAUGCGGUGCUCAACGCCGUCGAGCCGUUGAAACUGGCGUUCUUGAGUGGGCGAGAAGUAUGCGGAAUGCGUGGUGUAGCGGUGAAAUGCAUAGAUAUCACGCAGAACUCCGAUUGCGAAGGCAGCAUACCGGCGCCCUACUGACGCUGAGGCACGAAAGCGUGGGUAUCGAACAGG